AUACAUGCAGUCGAGCGAAUGGAUUAAGAGCUUGCUCUUAUGAAGUUAGCGGCGGACGGGUGAGUAACACGUGGGUAACCUGCCCAUAAGACUGGGAUAACUCCGGGAAACCGGGGCUAAUACCGGAUAACAUUUUGAACCGCAUGGUUCGAAAUUGAAAGGCGGCUUCGGCUGUCACUUAUGGAUGGACCCGCGUCGCAUUAGCUAGUUGGUGAGGUAACGGCUCACCAAGGCAACGAUGCGUAGCCGACCUGAGAGGGUGAUCGGCCACACUGGGACUGAGACACGGCCCAGACUCCUACGGGAGGCAGCAGUAGGGAAUCUUCCGCAAUGGACGAAAGUCUGACGGAGCAACGCCGCGUGAGUGAUGAAGGCUUUCGGGUCGUAAAACUCUGUUGUUAGGGAAGAACAAGUGCUAGUUGAAUAAGCUGGCACCUUGACGGUACCUAACCAGAAAGCCACGGCUAACUACGUGCCAGCAGCCGCGGUAAUACGUAGGUGGCAAGCGUUAUCCGGAAUUAUUGGGCGUAAAGCGCGCGCAGGUGGUUUCUUAAGUCUGAUGUGAAAGCCCACGGCUCAACCGUGGAGGGUCAUUGGAAACUGGGAGACUUGAGUGCAGAAGAGGAAAGU
rnacentral:rRNA from 1 species